rnacentral:tRNA from 1 species
GGUCGCUUAGCUCAGUUGGUUAGAGCGUGGUGCUAAUAGGUAACGCCAAGGUCGCGAGUUCGACCCUCGUAGUGAUCA